rnacentral:rRNA from 1 species
GCCAAAGAUCUAGCCCCUCCCCUCUCCCUUCCAUCAAGCACAAAUUAAAAUAUUCUCACGCCUGAGUAAAGACGAUUGAAAACUCAAUAGGAGCUAUGCCCGUACCGCAAGGGAAAAAUGAAAUAAAAUGAAACAUUUAAAGCCCCAAAAAGUAGAGAUCAAACCUUGUACCUUUCGCAUCAUGGUUUAACUAGUCCCCCCCGAGCAAAAAGAAUUUUAGUUUGAACCCCCGAAACUGAAUGAGCUACCCUAAGGCAGCUAAACGAGCACACUCGUCCCUGUGGCAAAAGGGUGAGAAGACCUUAUAGUAGCGGUGACAAACCUAACGAAUUCAGUAAUAGCUGGUUACUUGAGAAAAGAAUUUUAGUCCGACCUAAAGCACCCACUAACCCUAAUUAACGCUUUAGAGCAAUUCGAAUAAGGUACAGCUUAUUUGAAACAGGACACAACCUCCGGCAACGGGUAAUUCUAACUGCAUCCUGAACUAAGUGGGCCUAAGAGCAGCCACCUUAAAAGAACGUCAAAGCCUAAUUCACUCCGCACCCAAUACCUCAACUCUUAGAGAACCCCUCAACACUAUCAAGUACUUCUAUGCUCCCCAUAGAAAUUUUUAUGUUAAAACUAGUAAUAA